rnacentral:rRNA from 1 species
AAAAAGCUCGUAGUCGAACUUGUGUCCCGUACCGUCCGGUUCAUCGUUCGCGGUGUCAACUGGCGUGUUGCGGGACGUCCUGACGGAGGGUCGUUCGCAAGGGCGGCCCGUCUAUCCCCGCCGCGUUGCUCUUCAUUGAGUGACGAGGUGGGCCGUCACCUUUACUUUGAACAAACUAAGGUGCUUAAAGCAGGCUGAAAUUUUGCCCGAAUAUUUACUGCAUGGAAUAAUGAAACAGGACCACGAUUCUAUUUUGUUGGUUUUCGGAAUGUCGAGGUAAUGAUUAACAGGAACGGAUGGGGGCAUUCGUAUUGCGACGUUAGAGGUGAAAUUCUUGGAUCGUCGCAAGACGGACAGAAGCGAAAGCAUUUGCCAAAAACGUUUUCAUUGAUCAAGAACGAAAGUUAGAGGUUCGAAGGCGAUCAGAUACCGCCCUAGUUCUAACCAUAAACUAUGCCAGCUAGCGAUCCGCCGACGUUCCUCCGAUGACUCGGCGGGCAGCUUCCGGGAAACCAAAGCUUUUGGGUUCCGGGGGAAGUAUGGUUGCAAAGCUGAAACUUAAAGGAAUUGACGGAAGGGCACCACCAGGAGUGGAGCCUGCGGCUUAAUUUGACUCAACACGGGAAACCUCACCAGGCCCGGACACUGGAAGGAUUGACAGAUUGAGAGCUCUUUCUUGAUUCGGUGGGUGGUGGUGCAUGGCCGUUCUUAGUUGGUGGAGCGAUUUGUCUGGUUAAU